UACGGAGGGUGCAAGCGUUGUUCGGAAUCACUGGGCGUAAAGGGCGCGUAGGCGGCUUUGUAAGUCGGGGGUGAAAGCCUGUGGCUCAACCACGGAAUUGCCUUCGAUACUGCAUGGCUUGAGACCGGAAGAGGUAAGUGGAACUGCGAGUGUAGAGGUGAAACCCGUAGAUAUUCGCAAGAACACCAGUGGCGAAGGCGGCUUACUGGUCCGGUUCUGACGCUGAGGCGCGAAAGCGUGGGGAGCAAACAGG
rnacentral:rRNA from 1 species